CAGCAGCCGCGGUAAUACGUAGGGUGCGAGCGUUAAUCGGAUUUACUGGGCGUAAAGCGUGCGCAGGCGGCCCGUUAAGACAGGUGUGAAAUCCCUGGGCUCAACCUAGGAAUUGCGCUUGUGACUGGCGGGCUCGAGUACGGUAGAGGGGGGUGGAAUUCCUGGUGUAGCAGUGAAAUGCGUAGAGAUCAGGAGGAACACCGAUGGCGAAGGCAGCCCCCUGGGCCUGUACUGACGCUCAUGCACGAAAGCGUGGGGAGCAAACAGGAUUAGAUACCCCUGUAGUCCCUGUCUCUUAUAC
rnacentral:rRNA from 1 species